rnacentral:rRNA from 1 species
GUGGUAAUGCCGGAUGCUCCAGUUGGAUGCAUGUCCUUCUGGGAAAGAUUCAUCGGUAUGGGAUGGGGUCGCGUCCUAUCAGCUUGAUGGCGGGGUAACGGCCCACCAUGGCUUCGACGGGUAGCCGGCCUGAGAGGGCGACCGGCCACAUUGGGACUGAGAUACGGCCCAGACUCCUACGGGAGGCAGCAGUGGGGAAUAUUGCACAAUGGGCGCAAGCCUGAUGCAGCGACGCCGCGUGCGGGAUGACGGCCUUCGGGUUGUAAACCGCUUUUGACUGGGAGCAAGCCCUUCGGGGUGAGUGUACCUUUCGAAUAAGCACCGGCUAACUACGUGCCAGCAGCCGCGGUAAUACGUAGGGUGCAAGCGUUAUCCGGAAUUAUUGGGCGUAAAGGGCUCGUAGGCGGUUCGUCGCGUCCGGUGUGAAAGUCCAUCGCUUAACGGUGGAUCCGCGCCGGGUACGGGCGGGCUUGAGUGCGGUAGGGGAGACUGGAAUUCCCGGUGUAACGGUGGAAUGUGUAGAUAUCGGA